rnacentral:rRNA from 1 species
UACAGAGGGGGCAAGCGUUGUUCGGAAUUACUGGGCGUAAAGGGCGCGUAGGCGGCCUUCUAAGUCGAACGUGAAAUCCCUGGGCUCAACCCAGGAACUGCGUCCGAUACUGGAAGGCUUGAAUCCGGGAGAGGGAUGCGGAAUUCCAGGUGUAGCGGUGAAAUGCGUAGAUAUCGGAAGGAACAUCAGUGGCGAAAGCGACUUCCUGGACCAAUACUGACGCUCAUGUGCGAAAGCGUGGGGAGCAAACAGG